UACGGAGGGAGCUAGCGUUGUUCGGAAUUACUGGGCGUAAAGCGUGCGUAGGUGGUUUGUUAAGUCUGAUGUGAAAGCCCUGGGCUCAACCCCGGAACUGCAUUCGAUACUGCCGCGCUAGAGUACUGGAGAGGAGAUUGGAAUUUACGGUGUAGCAGUGAAAUGCGUAGAUAUCGUAAGGAAGACCAGUGGCGAAGGCGGAUCUCUGGACAGUUACUGACACUGAGGCACGAAGGCCAGGGGAGCAAACGGG
rnacentral:rRNA from 1 species